AUUUCUUUAUGAUUCGAAAGAACAUAAAUAAACACAAAACACACCGAGCCUAGCAUAAUUUUCAGUACCAACGUACAAAACAGAACCAACGCAACAACAAGUAAGCAAGAACACAAAGAUUCUAAGCGAAGAUUUGGUCGACAGGCUUGUCAACUUCUUUGUGGUCACGCUCCUCUUUAGCCAGCUUCUUGAGGCGAGCAAGCUCCAAAUCUCUUCCCAUCUUUCUCUUAUACAUCUCGGCAAACGUGAUUGGCUCCUCCAAUAUUGCCUUCUCUCCUUCUCUUACUUUCAGUGGAUACACUGUGGCAUCCGGCGCGGGGUUCUGGAACGUGGCUAUGGAUAAUCUGCUCGAGUUAGAGUUCACCACGGCCUGAUGAUCAGCAUUCUUGAACCUCCCAUUGCUCAAAAACUUCAUCAAGACAAAUCAAGAUUGACCAAGUCAAAACCAAAAACAGAGAAACAAAAAAGCCAAUAAAUGGAUAGAGUACUAACAUGGCCGUGGUCGCCGAGAUUGACGACAAACGCUCCUUCAACAGGCUGAACCGUAAUCCAUGUCUUGCCAUUGUCACGUGUGGCUUGUAAUCCACCGACUUGGUCUUGUAGCAGCAAGGUAAUGGUUCCAGGGUCAGUGUGACGCUUGAGUCCGAGGGUGAGAUCAGGCUGAGGGCAUUUUGGGUAAUAAUUAACAACAAUCUUUUGGUCCAUAUCGACGCAUGCAUUGGUAAGAGACUCUUUCUCAAGACCCAUAGCUUCAGACAAAACCUCAAGAAGCUUACAAGCCAAACUCAUAAGCCUCUCACUAUACUCCUCCGUCACUUUCACCCAACCUUCCGGCUUAUCUGGCCACCGUGAGUAGUCUCUGUUUCUCACCGGGUACGAGAAAUACGUUACAAUCUCUCUCCAAUCUUGCACAGCCUCUCCCUGUAUUUAUAGUAUAAUUAUUAUGUCUUUAACGGCAAGAUUAAAACAUAAUUACGUAUUUAACCUAGAAGAUUGUGGUGUGGCUUUUACCUGGAGGUGACUAGAGACGAUGAAUCCUCCUUUUUUACCACCGGACAUGUCGAAACGGAGCUUGUCUUCCGGAGGUAAAGCAAAGAAGUCACGAGCGAGACGAGUCAUAUCCGCCACUAAGUUAGUAUCGACGCCGUGAUCGACCACUUGGAAGAUGCCCCAAUUCUCACAAGCCUCAACGAUCUGACGGCAGAUCUCUCCUCUUUUUCCAUCGACGUCAUCGAUACCGGCGAGAGAGAUCACCGGGAUUUCGUCGCUAAACACAUUGUAAGCGACUUUGGGCCGUUCAUCUUCGUCCCUGACAAAUUUAGAGUUGAGCUUAGACUCUCCGGCUAGCUCAGUCAAAGUUCCUGGAGCCAUUGUAAUUACGAAGACAAAAGACUAAAUUAAGAGAGAUAUAGAAAGAAGAGAUGUGUAAUGAAUAUAUAAAGGAGAGAGUGGUAGCUGAAAAUCUUUCAAAGCUUGUGAUGACUGACGAACGAAGAGGUCGCUAGCUACCUACCACGGUACUACUGCUCUCUCUUCUCUUUCUAGAACACAAUUUACUCAACUAACUACAUCUGUUUUUAACUUCAGAAAAUAAAAUAAAAAAUACAUACGGUAUAAUAAUAUUUUGUAGGAAAACAUUAUAAACUUAAUUAUCUAUUUAUUUUUUAUGC